UUGGGAGUAGUGGGAGAAUAAGUGAUACUUGGGGAAAGUGUAGGGUUAACAGCCUGUUAAUAUACAGUUGGACAAGCUGUCUAAAGGGCCUUGUGAGACUGAGCUUGCCUUGCAAGUUUGUCACUGGAAAUACCAUUUGUGCAGAGAACACAUACAUUUACAUGUGUAAGGUUCCAUAGGGUGGCUGAGCAGGUAGUUGUAAAACCACUGUGAGCUCACAGCACUAAGAUCUGUUCAUGACCAUAGGAUACUGCAGUCAUACACAAACAGCUGGUAAUUAUGCAUUCAGCAUCUAUAUAUCCUACACUUUCAUGAGGACAAUUGUGGCAUGCUGGAAGAACAUUGCUGGCAGGGUUAAAUUCCUGAGUUAGACACCAUAGUCCCAGCAGAAAACAAUGUAAUACUUUUUAAAGGGAGAAUUAGGAGUACCUAAAUGAGACUUGCAACUUUGAGCAGACUGACUGGAGAGAAGCUGAACACAACGCCCUGGAAAUACCAGAGAGAGAAGUAUGGUUGUAAUUCAGCCAUCACUGGGACAUAGACUCUUCCUUGCAGCUUGAGUUAAUCUCCUCCCUCUGAGGCUGAGAUUCACAGUCUAGAAAUUCUCCCCAAGACACUGGGCAACAUUUCUCACUUCAAGUUUGGCAGAAGAGUACUGGGUUGUGGUUCUUCUUUCCUCCCCAAGGACACAGAUAGAGACUUGCAGCUUAAGCCAAUUUCUGAGGAGUAAUUUUCUACUUUGAUUCCACUCUUUCAACAUACGUGCCUGCCUCCUGCAUGCAAAACCUGAUCUACCACAUCUGAGACUGUCUCCUAGCCCUCCUUUGGCCUUGCCACUACCCAAAGGCAUGGGGCACAAAAUGAACACAUUUGCCUUGGUUACUUUUUAUUUUCUGGGGCCCCAGAAAGAAAGCCCAUAAGUAUGUGUUGUCACCUUUGACUACUGGAGCAAUGGCAGCAUUCAUUUGCUAUACUGUUCAUAAGUAAACCUCCAGUGAUGUGAGUCUUCUGUCUGUUCUCACACUCUUUUACUAAACAUGAAGCUUGUGGCAAAAGCCUGUCAUAUUUAUAUGAGUUGCAAUAACUUUUUACUCCUUAUUUUUCUGCCACAGAAAAAAUAUCUUCCAAACUAUUCCUAACAUUGACAGGAGGAGGAAAGUAACUCUUCAAACAUUCAAAACCCAGUAUUUUUCUAAAGUUUUCAGUUUCAGGAUGCCAAUAUGGUAGAACACAGAAAUCAAGGUGUCACGUGAAGCACGAAGCCAUCUGCCCUUGCCUCCUACUGCUACAGAGUUUUCAAAUGACCAUGAAGGGUGGCAGGCAAGCUCCUGGAGGUGAUGGGCUCAGAAGGUAUAGACCCUGUGGUCAGCAAAAAACUUGAGAUACAGCACUAGCUUUUUACAUAGUUUCAUACGGUAUCGGUAGAAUUUUCCAGUUUUGAGAAGAAAACUUUCAGCAAACUCACCCUUCUGCGGUCGUGCUGAUGUCAGAGGUGUAACAGCAUGAAUCAUUUCAUAUCUGAGAAACUAAGUAGCACUGGAUCUUAGUUAGUCGAAGUACUGACAGUAUUUAUUAUUUCCCUGACAUACAGCUAGGUUAGAGUCUUACUCAUAAUUAUAUCUGUAACCAACAGAUAUAAUUAUAUGAGGCUUAUUUGUAGUCUGUUAAAACAAGGAUGCCCAUAAAAAACCCACCGCAUUAUAUGAUGUUUCCAAGAUACAUUAUUUAUGAUAAACAGCAGCUGUGAAAGUGUAAGUCCCUCCAAGUAAAUGCAGAAGGCAUCUUUCUUGGCAAUUUGUCAGACUGGACUCUGGAGUCAGCAGAGGCUUGAAUGCGAAUGAUGAACUGCACAGCAGCCCACUGUGUGUCUGUAGCCUUGGGAAGGGCAGGCACAGCCCUGACUUUUAAACAAGGACACAUAAACAGAGCCAAAAUGCUGAAAGCCAUCAUUAUAAAGCCUGAGACAAAAUGUUAACAACAACAACAAACAGUUGGGUAACCUUUUUGAAGUGGAUAUACUCCUCUUUCUGUGUUUUCUGAAUCUCCUUAAAUUUUGAUUGGCUUUAGAUUUGAAAGCAGUUGGCAGACAGUCAAAAUUUAAAAUUGAUGAAGUACAAUUGGUCUGUUCAUGGGAUGCUUGGAAAAGAAAAUAAUGAUCUUUCAGACAAAAAUGUUCUGAGGAAGCUAAGCCUCCAUGUCAACAGAUAAGAAAGCAAACAGUGGCACUGAAAUGACUGUAACAAACAGCAUUUAAAAGAAGGUUUUGUCCUGGAGAAAUUAUAGUGAAUUCAGAGGGCUCUGUACUUGGUGAUCUUUAGGAUAUUCUUUCAUGCUUCCAGGACAUGCUGGCAGUAUAACUAAGUCCAGGGGUCACACCUAAUCUGUAUAAACUGCAUUAGUCCAGAGGGAAGACCUGAAAAUCUGCAGCUCGUAGCAUAGAAGAAUGAUAUGCCCUCUAUUGAUCUAAAACUUUUUAAAUGUCAGACCUAAUAAGCAUGGUCUUUUAGACCACAAGCCCCAAACUAAGGGGAAAAAACCAGCAUCAAAACACCAAAACUCACCGAGCCACAGUUGAGGUGGCUUUGAUUAGUGGACAGAUUCAAGAAGGUAUAUAAAAUACAUGUAAAUUAGCCCCCCCUUGGCAAGAUGUGGUGCAUCACUCUGUGUCUGUCACUGUCCUUCCUGAAUGAAAAGCAAUGAACCUUAUGCGAGGGCUGCGGGGUUCUGGCCUGGCAAAGUGCUUGGCUUCCUAAUCUCCCCUGGAUCCUGAGGGCAACCUGUGAGAUGCUAGGAGAUUGAAGAAGCUC